rnacentral:rRNA from 1 species
GAUGAACGCUAGCGGCAGGCUUAAUACAUGCAAGGCGAAGGGGCAGCAAUGUCACUGUCGUACGGGUGCGUAACGCGUAUGCAACCUACCUAUCACUGGGGGAUAGCCCGGGGAAACCCGGAUUAAUACCGCAUAAAACAGGGGCACCGCAUGGUGAUAUUUGUUAAAGAUUUAUUGGUGAUAGAUGGGCAUGCGUUCGAUUAGCUAGUUGGCGAGGUAACGGCCCACCAAGGCGACGAUCGAUAGGGGAGCUGAGAGGUUGAUCCCCCACACGGGCAAGGAGGUACGGGCCGAACUCCUACGGGAGGCAGCAGUAGGGAAUAUUGGGCAAUGGAUGCAAGUCUGACCCAGCCAUGCCGCGUGCCGGAUGAAGGCCCUCAGGGUUGUAAACGGCUUUUAUUCGGGAAGAAGAGCAGGGAUGCGUCCUUGUGUGACGGUACCGAAUGAAUAAGCACCGGCUAACUCCGUGCCAGCCGCCGCCGUAAUAC